rnacentral:rRNA from 1 species
CAGUAGCCGCGGUAAUACAGAGGGUGCGAGCGUUAAUCGGAUUUACUGGGCGUAAAGCGUGCGUAGGCGGCUUCUUAAGUCGGAUGUGAAAUCCCUGAGCUUAACUUAGGAAUUGCAUUCGAUACUGGGAAGCUAGAGUAUGGGAGAGGAUGGUAGAAUUCCAGGUGUAGCGGUGAAAUGCGUAGAGAUCGGAAGGAACAUCUGUGGCGAAGGCGACUAUCUGGGCCAACACUGACACUGAGGCACGAAAGCGUGGGGAGCAAACAGGAUUAGAGACCCCUGUAGUCCCUGUCUCUUAUAC